rnacentral:lncRNA from 1 species
ACAACCAACACGUUCUCCCCACACGACUCUCUCGUUCUCCCCACAGCCAGGUCUCCAGCUGGGGUGGACGUGCCCACCAGCUGCCGAAGGCCAAGACGCCAGGUCCGGUGGACGUGACAAGCAGGACAUGACAUGGUCCGGUGUGACGGCGAGGACAGAGGAGGCGCGUCCGGCCUUCCUGAACACCUUAGGCUGGUGGGGCUGCGGCAAGAAGCGGGUCUGUUUCUUUACUUCCUCCACGGAGUCGGCACACUAUGGCUGCCCUCUGGGCUCCCAGAACCCACAACAUGAAAGAAAUGGUGCUACCCAGCUCAAGCCUGGGCCUUUGAAUCCGGACACAAAACCCUCUAGCUUGGAAAUGAAUAUGCUGCACUUUACAACCACUGCACUACCUGACUCAGGAAUCGGCUCUGGAAGGUGAAGCUAGAGGAACCAGACCUCAUCAGCCCAACAUCAAAGACACCAUCGGAACAGCAGCGCCCGCAGCACCCACCCCGCACCGGCGACUCCAUCUUCAUGGCCAC